UGGUUUUGUAGCAGUGAGAGUAGGUUAGUAAAUUGAAAAUUUAUAGGUGUUUUUUCCUCAGUCCUUUGUCCCUUUUUCUUUCUCAGCUCCAGUAGGCCCAGCCUCAGCUGAACCUCUUUGCUUCUAAACUAAAAGUGAGUUUUGGCAGCAUCCAAGCAUCAUCUCUAGUUUCACCUUCGCAAGCACUGUCUUCUGGGAAUGGCAGGGAAGGGGACACUGAUGUCUGCUUUCUGUUCAGCUCUGCUCAGAACCCUGAAGGAAGGACUUUCAAUGGCUUUAUGUCUCCAACAACCUGUGUCAUACCCAGAUGAAUUCCACGACUGAUAAGUGCCACUUCUUCCUAAAACUUUACUCAGGAAGAAAGUCUCUGA
rnacentral:lncRNA from 1 species